ensembl:lncRNA
AUGUAUCUGGGAAACAGACAGAAAUAUGGAGCUGGAGCCCCUCGGUGCGGCUCAGGCCCUCCACCGAAAACAUUCAAUCGGAAUCAGGCACUCAAACGUGCCAACGAUGACGUCUACUAUCUGACCCAACGGGUGACAUUCCUCGAGACCUGUGAGAGGGAUUUUGAGAUUGAGAGGAACAGUUUUUGCCUUGUCAUCAAAAAUAAGAAACUGGAAAUCACGCAACUGGAGAGCAGUCUGGAGAUCGCCAACGACAGGAUCAAGAUCCUGGAGAGUCAGCAGAUGUCCACGGCUGAAACCAACAACAGCCGAGAGAUGCCGCCCGAAAACUUCCACCUGCUGGAGCGUCUGAGAGUACAGGAGGAAAAGAUGGCUGAAGCCCAGCUCAUCAGUCACCAGGAGAAGGAGAGGAUGGUUCAAGAGUAUGAGGCCAAACUUUCUGACCAAAUUCUCCAGAACCUUAAUCUCUUCAAGAAGAACGAGGGUUUGUCUCUGGGGCUCACAGAGUCCACAGAGCCCCUCGUCAGCAACGAGAGCUGGAAACAAAAGUACGAGGAUCUGGAGAAAAAGACUACCCAAGACCUCGCCCUACAACAAGAGGCGAUGGAAGCCCUUCAGGUAAAGUACCAGGAGAUGGCCAACGAGGUGGAGAAUCUGAUGCUCAAGAAGUUUAGUGCAACCCUGGACGUCAACAAAGAGAAGGAAAGCCUCUCACAUAAGCUGAGAGAGACUCAACAACAGCUCAUCAGCGAGGAAGAGAAAUUCAAAGAUCUGGAAACAAGGAUCUGCAAUCAACUGAAGUGCAAACAAGACAGAAUAGCAGGACUGUUCUCCGACAACAUUGCUCUGCACAAGGAGUUGAACACGCAGUUGUCCAACUACCAACAGUUGGAGGAAGAAUACAAACAGCUAAAGCACUGGAGGGAUGGUAUGCCUGAGCAACAAGAGAAGGACGUACCCCUCAUUGUCAACCUACUCGAAGAGAUGGACGUGAUAACUGAAGAACAUCAGAUUGUGAUCAGAAAUGUGAAACAGUUGCAGGACGAAAACACACUCCUUGAAAACAUCUGUCUGGACUUGAAGAAGAAGAAGAGGGGCAUCUUCGGAAGAAGGAUGCAAGACAGACAGACGGAGAUGGACAAGAUGAAGCGCAAAAUGCAGGACCAGGAGACUAAGAGGUCCGAAAAAGAAGAGAAGAAGAGCCGUAAGAUCCUCCAGGGCUGA